GGUGCGCCUUAUGCAUGCAAGUCGAGCGAAGCUUUUCAGUAGUUUACUACAGAAAAUGACUGAGCGGCGAACGGGUGAGUAACGCGUGAGCAACCUACCUUAGUUACUGGGAUAGCCCGAGGAAACUCGGAUUAAUACCGGAUAUUCUUAUUUAAUCACAUGAUUUUUUAAGGAAAGGUCAGCCGAACUAAGAUGGGCUCGCGUUCUAUCAGCUAGUUGGUAGGGUAAUGGCCUACCAAGGCUACGACGGAUAGCUGGUCUGAGAGGACGAUCAGCCACACUGGGACUGAGACACGGCCCAGACUCCUACGGGAGGCUGCAGCAGGGAAUAUUGCGCAAUGAGCGAAAGCUUGACGCAGCGACACCGCGUGUGGGAUGACGGAUCUAGGUUUGUAAACCACUUUCAGGAGGGAAGAAAAUGACGGUACCUCCACAAGAAGCCCCGGCCAA
rnacentral:rRNA from 1 species